rnacentral:rRNA from 1 species
UACGUAGGUGACCAGCGUUGUCCGGAUUUACUGGGCGUAAAGAGCGCGCAGGCGGUCGUUCAAGUCGAGUGUGAAAGCCCCCGGCUCAACUGGGGAGGGUCACUCGAUACUGAUCGACUGGAAGGCAGGAGAGGGAAGCGGAAUUCCCGGUGUAGUGGUGAAAUGCGUAGAUAUCGGGAGGAACACCAGUGGCGAAGGCGGUUCUCUGGGCCUUACCUGACGCUGAGGUGCGAAAGCGUGGGGAGCAAACAGGG